AUUGUUGGCGUAGUUUCUCUUGGCAUAAUUGUCGGUGGAAAUGGAAAACUGACGACGACCAAGUGCUGCGAGCAGUGGUUGAUAAUUGGCUAAUGAACCAACAAUAGUGAAAAUGAAUGCGAUUGAGGAGUCGUAGACCCCCAAUCACCGACUCCAUGAAAGAUAUUGUGAGGUUCGAUUUUUGGGGAAGGCGGGGUACUUGAAUUUUUUAGGGAUUUGGUUUCGCUGCUAAUAGCUGGUGUCGCCGCUAAUGAUGCUACGGUGUCGAUCCACGUCAAAUUAACCAUAUCCAUUCGAUCUGCUUUUCAUCCAACGGUGGGAAAUGAGGAAAAAGGGCGCUAUAUUUUCCCUCCAGGGGUGUCGUUGCUAAUACCCUAUUGUCGCCGCUAAAACCCUAGCGUCGCCGCUAAUACGCAUCGCAGCUAAUACUCGUCGCAGAUACCCCCCACUGCGUCACUUUCCUGUUCGUUCUGCUUCCUUUCACUCCUCUAACGAUAAUCGGCGACUGCACCUCCGAUGACGACCUCGUUUGCGCCACGUGACUCGUCUCCGGCAACCAUUACUGCCGGCCACUGGUGGAGCUCCAUUAUUACCGGCGACCACACUCAUUUCCUGCGACAAAAGUUCGAUUUAAGAGGUGAUGGCCGAUAUUAUGGGCCUUGGUCACGGAGGUGAUGGAGCUGGGGAUCCACCAUCUCCAGGAGGCUUUGGUCGCGGACAACAUGAACAGGCCGAUAUUAUGGGCCUUGGUCACGGAGGUGAUGUCGAGCUUCAAAAGAAAAGAAGGGGCUUGUCAAAGAAUAUAGAGCUAGGAAAGUGGAUAAGGGCAAACAAGGGAAAAACUGUGGAUUUGAAUUUUGACAGGAGAUCACAUAUUCCCCUGUUGGGAAGCCUGUUAAUUGGUUCAUACAUGAAAUUGGGAGGUAUUUGUGCAACAACGUCCCUUUAAACGUAUCUGGUUGGGACAAUGUUUCCCCCGCGUUAAGGAAUGCGACAGUUAUGCAUCUAAAGAAUAAGUUUGAUUUGGAUAAAGUUAACUUGGAUCCGGAGCGUGCACAAUUGUUGCGGAGCAUUGAUUCGAGUCUUGCAAAAGUUUACAGAGGCCGAAAAAGUAAAGCCCAUUCUUAUUUUAAGGAUAUUGGGGGGCCUGCAGAUAUCCCAAUGGCACUAAACAACCCCCCCCCCCCCCCCCCCCCCCAAUGGUAUGUCACCAGAAAAUUGUGCGAAGACAGUCGAACAUUUUCAAUCGCCCGAAUUUUUAAGUCGUUCGACGACAAAGAAGUCCGUGCAAAACAACUAGUUGUAAACAGAGGGGGUCAAGCUCGUACAGUAAUCCAUGCUUCAAAGAAGAUAUCACUCGAAUCGAAGCAUUCCAUAAGGCUAAUUCCAAUCGCCAAUGGGUGUUUUACAGUCCUGCAGCCGAGCAACAAUAUAAUGCUUUACUUCAGGAGAUCAAUCAACAAACCUAAGCUUCUUCUUCAGCAAGCGGUCUAACGCCAAGUGAUACAAGAAGAUGUUUUGAAAAAAUAUUAGGUGUUCGAAGCGGACAUAUUAGAGGCAUUAGGCGUAAACCCCCUACCGUUGUGUCUAUCUAUGAUCAAGAACAACCGAUGAGACAGGAACCACCACAAUCACAUAUGGAAAUGCUACAAACGAUAUUGAAGGACCCGACAUGUUCUGCGGCAUUAGAAGAGUGGUUUCGUUCAUUGUCACCACCAAAUAAUGAAGAAAAUGAUGAGAGUGAUGGCGAGGAGUAUGAAUUUUAGGAUUUUGUGAAAUGUUUGUUUAGAAGAAUACUUUAAUUAGGUUGUAUGGACUAAUAUUUUUGAUUGUGGAUUAAUAUUUUAUAAUUGU